GAUGAAGAACGAAGCGAAAUGCGAUACGUAAUGUGAAUUGCAGAAUUCAGUGAAUCAUCAAAUCUUUGAACGCAUAUUGCGCUCUCUGGUAUUCCGGAGAGCAUGCUUGUUUGAGUAUCAGUAAACACCUCAACUUCCAUAUAUUUUUUGAAAUGGGAGUUGGACUUGAGUGAUCCCAACGCUUUUCCUCACCGAAAAGUGGCGGGUUACUUGAAAUGCAGGUGCAGCUGGACUUUUCUCUGAGCUAUAAGCAUAUCUAUUUAGUCUGCCUAAAAAACAGAUUAUUACCUUUGCUGCAGCUAACAUAAAGGAGAUUAGUUCUUGUGCUGACUGAUGCAGGAUUCACAAAGACGGCUUCGGCCGACUUUGUAAACUCGAUCUCAAAUCAAGUAAGACUACCCGCUGAACUUAAGCAUAUCAAUAAGCGGAGGA
rnacentral:misc_RNA from 1 species